CUGGGAAGCAGGAGCCCAACAGAGCUGACUUUUACUUAGCAGCUGGGACCAGAUGUCAAUCUGCUUCUCCAGAAAUGCACAAAGCCAGGCAAGUGUGGGUCUAGUGCAGCAGACAAGGAGGGAUCGAGAGGGCACUGCCUCGCCAUGAGUGGACAGCAACAGGCCUAGAUGACCACAAGUGCCUCACUGCUGCCCCACUCUCUGGCUCACGGCCUUAGGGUGCAGAGGAGAAAGAGGGGUGGAGAGGCUACAGAAAGGAGCUGCAGGGGCUGACAGGGGUGGGGAGAAGGAGAGUGAAGGACAGAUGACAGGGAUAGGUGGAUGAAUGGCCCAGGCAGGAGAUGACCAUAUGGGGAAGGGAAGCUGUAGGGAUGUGAGCUACUCGAACUGGAUGCAGCUGUUGGAGACGAGACUGCAGGAGCAAAUAGAGAGGAUGCAUCAGCCACAGGCUGAGAAUGCGAAGUGCUGUCUACGUACUGUGCUGACUGUUCGCAUUUUUUGCCACUUUCAUAUCCUCCAGAACCUCUGGCUCAUUUCUUAAAGUCUUUCUGAGAGUGCUUUCUCUAAAACAAAUAUUAGGUAAGUUUCAGACAUUGAUUUGUUUUAAUAUGUUAAAAUUAGUUUAACACAAACACUAAGCCAAGUUUCCUGGUUUUGUAGAGAACUUUAAUUUAAAAAUGCCUGUGAUCCCGGUGAUCACA
rnacentral:lncRNA from 1 species